UACGGAGGGAGCAAGCGUUACUCGGAAUUAUUGGGCGUAAAGGGCGCGUAGGUGAUUCGAUGAGUCUCGUGUGAAAGCCCAGGGCUUAACCCUGGAAUGGCACGGGAUACUGUCGGAUUUGAGUUCCGGAGAGGAAGGCAGAAUUCCCGGUGUAGCGGUGAAAUGCGUAGAUAUCGGGAGGAAUACCAGUGGCGAAGGCGGCCUUCUGGACGGAUACUGACGCUGAGGCGCGAAAGCCAGGGGAGCAAAC
rnacentral:rRNA from 1 species